rnacentral:tRNA from 1 species
GGUACAUAGCUCAGUUGAUAAGAGUAUUUCCCUUGUAUGCACAAGGCCCUGGGUUCAAUCCCUAGCACCA